AUUGAACGCUGGCGGCAUGCCUUACACAUGCAAGUCGAACGGUAACGGGCCUUCGGGUGCCGACGAGUGGCGAACGGGUGAGUAAUGUAUCGGAACGUACCUUUCAGUGGGGGAUAACGUAGCGAAAGUUACGCUAAUACCGCAUAUUCUGUGAGCAGGAAAGCAGGGGAUCGCAAGACCUUGCGCUGAUUGAGCGGCCGAUAUCAGAUUAGCUAGUUGGUGAGGUAAAGGCUCACCAAGGCGACGAUCUGUAGCGGGUCUGAGAGGAUGAUCCGCCACACUGGAGCUGAGACACGGUCCAGACUCCUACGGGAGGCAGCAGUGGGGAAUUUUGGACAAUGGGGGCAACCCUGAUUCAGCCAUGCCGCGUGAGUGAAGAAGGCCUUCGGGUUGUAAAGCUCUUUCGGCCGGGAAGAAAUCGUAUCAGCUAAUACCUGGUGCGGAUGACGGUACCGGCAUAAGAAGCACCGGCUAACUACGUGCCAGCAGCCGCCGUAACAC
rnacentral:rRNA from 1 species